UUAAAACAGCCUGGGGGUUGUACCCACCCCUGGGGCCCACGUGGCGCUAGUACUCUGGUUCGUUAGAACCUUUGUACGCCUGUUUUCCCC
rfam:Bovine enterovirus genomic RNA, complete genome.